UAAAAUAAUUGAGCUGCACUUUGACAAGCUCAAGAUCAGCUAUCCAAAAAGCUUGUUACAGCUUCUUCUCCAGUAAAUGAGCUUGUGAGCUCAACUAAUUUUCUGAGUUAGAUUAUCACUCAUCCAGGCUUGACCAAUACUGGGAUUAACAUGACUAGGCACAUGGACAGUUGAGGUAGGCAUCAUGUAGUUAUAAUGGCUCAAUCUGUACGAAAUUACCUUUCAAAGAAUUCUUUGGGGAGGUAACAUUAAGGAACAAAGUUGAAUAGAGUUGGAUUUUGGAAUAUGUUAUAAUCAUUAACUUGCAUUAUCAAGCCUAGGAUUGUACGGUUCUUAGGAAGAGAUGGAUUUCAGAUGAAGCUACUAAUUAACAGGCUCAAUUGUGGCUAAAUUUCUUAAAAAACAAAGCUGGAUGGGGUUGGUUGAGUGGGAGUAUUCUUGAGCUCAAAGCAAAUGCAGUCAACCUGUGCUUGAUUCUUACAACUCUGAUCUUGCAUCUGUUAUUUAAAGCCAUAUAAGGCACUUUAAAAUGGUUUUUCAUUCCUUGGGUAGGUGGCCCUUCUAGAAUUUGUAUUUAAUGAAUUGUGAUUUUAAAUAGAGAGUUUUGCAAGUACUGUCUUGAUAUGGCUGGAUUAUAUAUGUGCUUGUUUGGUAAAAUCUUAUUCAUGAUUGUAAUUUAAUGUUUUUCUUUCCCAUUCAAAUAUUGGUAUAAAUUUGUUUGACUUUGAUUUUGCACUUGAUCAGGUUUAUUGAGUGGGCUAAAUGAAAGUCCUUAACCAGAAUCCUAACAAAGAAAGUAUUGAAUGUUUAACAAGCAAAUUGUGAAUUUUAUUGGUUUUAGUAUAGUAUUGUUUAACACUAAAUGAUGUUGCUUUGCAUGAUGGCAGAGUGGGAGUAUGACAGCUCUUCAGGCUAUUACUGUAAUCAAAAUAAUGGUUGUUUCUACGAUCCAAACUCUGGCUUCUACUACACUGAUGCUUUAGAGGCAUUUGCUGCAUCUCGAGCUUCUUCAAAUUCGGCUUCAAAAAAGCUCAUUUUGAAAAAUCCAUUGUCAGCAUUAGAGGGUAGAUAAGCUUUGGAAAACUAAGGCGCUACAAAAAUCUCUAAAUGGAGCGCUACUUGGGCCAGUUGUUUCUGCGCCUCUAAAUCCCAAGAGAUCCAUUAAAGGUGCUCCUUCAUCUCUCACUGUUAACAAGAGAAAGAGGCAAGAUGAAAAGCCCAAGGUUUUAUCUGAAGAGGAAGCAGCUGUACUUAAAAAAAGGAGGCUGCAAGGAAAAGAGUUGAGGAGAGAGAGAAGCCGUUGCUUGGCCUUUAUAGACAAUGAUUGAAUCACUGCUGCAAAUACUUGUAUUAUUGUAAGAGGUAUGCUUUAACCUGUUUGUUCUUAAUUUAAAUUGCAAUACAUUAAUU